GGAUUAGAUACCCUGGUAGUCCUAGCUGUAAACGAUGGAUACUAAGUGUUGGGCUUUUAGAGUUCAGUGCUGUAGCUAACGCGUUAAGUAUCCCGCCUGGGGAGUAUGCUCGCAAGGGUGAAACUCAAAGGAAUUGACGGGGGCCCGCACAAGCGGUGGAGCAUGUGGUUUAAUUCGAUCAACGCGAAGAACCUUACCAGGAAUUGACAUCCAGAGAACUUACUAGAGAUAGUUUGGUGCCUUCGGGAACUCUGUGACAGGUGCUGCAUGGCUGUCGUCAGCUCGUGCUG
rnacentral:rRNA from 1 species